rnacentral:rRNA from 1 species
UACGUAGGGCGCAAGCGUUGUCCGGAAUUAUUGGGCGUAAAGAGCUCGUAGGCGGUGUGUCGCGUCGGCCGUGAAAACCUGCAGCUUAACUGUGGCUUGCGGUCGAUACGGGCAUCACUGGAGUUCGGCAGGGGAGACUGGAAUUCCUGGUGUAGCGGUGAAAUGCGCAGAUAUCAGGAGGAACACCGGUGGCGAAGGCGGCUUCUGGUCCGACUUCUGACGCUGAGGCGCGAAAGCGUGGGGGAGCGAUCGGA